CCUACGGGAGGCAGCAGUGGGGAAUAUUGCACAAUGGGGGAAACCCUGAUGCAGCGACGCCGCGUGAGUGAAGAAGUAAUUCGUUAUGUAAAGCUCUAUCAGCAGGGAAGAAAAUGACGGUACCUGAGUAUGAAGCCGCUGCUAACUACGUGCCAGCAGCCGCCGUAAUACUGAGGGGGCAAGGGUUAUCCGGAUUUACUGGGUGUAAAGGGAGCGUAGACGGCAGAGCAAGUCGGGGGUGAAAGGCGGGGGCUCAACCCCCGGACUGCUCUGGAAACUGUACGGCUGGAGUGCAGGAGAGGGAAGUGGAAUUCCUAGUGUAGCAGUGAAAUGCGUAGAUAUUAGGAGGAACACCAGUGGCGAAGGCGGCUUACUGGAAUGUAACUGACGUUGAGGCUCGAAAGCGUGGGGAGCAAACAGGAUUAGAUACCCCUGUAGUC
rnacentral:rRNA from 1 species